CCUACGGGGGGCAGCAGUAGGGAAUCUUCGGCAAUGGACGAAAGUCUGACCGAGCAACGCCGCGUGAGUGAAGAAGGUUUUCGGAUCGUAAAACUCUGUUGGUAGAGAAGAACGUUGGUGAGAGUGGAAAGCUCAUCAAGUGACGGUAACUACCCAGAAAGGGACGGCUAACUACGUGCCAGCAGCCGCGGUAAUACGUAGGUCCCGAGCGUUGUCCGGAUUUAUUGGGCGUAAAGCGAGCGCAGGUGGUUUAUUAAGUCUGGUGUAAAAGGCAGUGGCUCAACCAUUGUAUGCAUUGGAA
rnacentral:rRNA from 1 species